GACUUCGUGGUGUAGUGGUCAGCACACUCGGCGCGUAUUCGAGAGGUCCGUGGUUCGAGUCCCGGUAAGGGCA
rnacentral:tRNA from 1 species